CGUUCUAAGCCAUUUGCUAAAAGCACACGUAUGACGCUUGUGUAACAGUUGGAUAUAAGUGAUAAAAUGUAUGGUCUAUUAAGUGCUUCCCCGUUAACACACCUCUGAGCCUGUUCAUAAUGUCAGAUUAGUCUCCCCCACCCCCGCCCCCUGGAUAACUAGGCAGAUACAAAGGAGGCCUGGCACCAAGGGACACGACCUGAACCUGGGGCCAGAGCCAGCACCCCAGCACCCACAGACAGGUAUUUUGAUCACCCAUGCUUUCUACUGAGAGGUUUGUAAACAAAUGGGGAAAUGAUGGAAAAAUCUACACAUAGUGAGGUAUGGGGAAGUCAUUCUGGCUUAUGCAUGGUUUGACUUAAGCUUUACUAACCAGAGCGGCCUGCCUUAUGGCCUUUUGGACAUGCAUUAAUACAUCUGCUUUGGCCUUAAGGAGGAGAAUGCAGCUGAAGGUCAGAAGGGAGUGGCUGUGGUUCAGAUGUCCAGGGUGGAAUUGGGUGGCCACUGUGGGUGUGAUUUUGGCUAUCUUCCUGUAUUGCUGAGAACUCUUAAUCUUCUGGGCUGUAUCAUACUCAGGAUGUCACUGGACAUUUUCAAAGCUGUGUCUGCUGGCAGAUGGCAUCUGCAACCUUAUGACUUGAGGGUCUCCUCUUGUAACUGCCAGCUAAAAACUGGCACUCACCAGCCACCUCUACAAGGAUUACAUCACGGGCCACUGCAGCCACUGACCUUCAACAGACCCUGAGAGGAGUUCAGGGUGGAGACCAGGCAUGGGGUGCUCUGUGCUCUGGGAAAAACUGGCAGAACACGCCUUCAGAGGGUUAGAUAUUUUCAGGUUUUCUGAGCCCAAAUUCUUGCAUCUCCUCAGAUCUAGAAAAGCUCUACAACCAUUAACAGUGACAUCUGCUCCUGUCUAGCAGCAAAGCCUCUGUCUAAACGUGGGCUUGACUGCACGCACCCCCGUCGCUCUAAUCAUGUAUGGCACUGCCCUUCCCCCACCCCUCUGGAGCAGUUCAUCAGAGCUGAGGGGCUGUCUCCCAGGCCACAGUCCUCAUUUUGUCCCAAAUAAAACUUAACUCACCACUCUCAUGUUGUGCAACUUUAUUUCAGCUGACAGUUCUGGCGACCACACAGGGACCCAGAGUGGACAUCUCGCCCUUGCCUGAACUCUACGAGGAGAUGGGGCCUCGCUGCCAGGAGAGGCCUCCUGGGCCCGUCCGCCUCCUCGGAGAGGCCACACGGAUUCGGCUUAUCUCAGUAAUCUGCCUUUGGAUGAAGAUCAGAUGUCCCUCGACCUGCAACCAGUGUUUUAUAUACUGGAAAGGACCUAAUUUAAAGGACUGUCCCCAACCUAGAUGAAAGGAUCUUUAUCAGGUACUCCUAACUACUAACUCAUGCACAGCAGAACUGAAGGGAAUGGACUCUUGGAUUAACUUCCACUUGCAAAGGGCCCCUGCACUGGACUGGCCUAUAGAGAGAGGACUGCUGACCUCAAAAUCUCCUUAAAACACGGCUCAAAGGAGAAGCUACCAGACCAGGAUGAGAAGACGACAUCUGAGGUAUAGAGUCCAGGCCUGUAGACCAGUUACCUUGAAUAUUGCUCACACCUCUGCUUAUAAACUAAAUGUAUUUCAAAAUCUUAUGCAGAGUUAAAGUUAAUCCAAUUGUCAGGUUUAUGGUCAAUUACCUCUACCCAGUACUUCUGGGUUACCUCUGGAUUUCCCUCCUCCAAGGCUCUAACUGAAUGACCCUUAGGACAUUUAUUCUAGAAGAAAAGAAAUUAUAGUUAUGGUCAGGUCACUAUUGAUAUUACCAGGUGGGAUCCCCUCACCUGGCCAAUUAAUAAUACCUGCUCUGACCCUGGCCAUAAAUAUAUUUUCUUUUAGAGUUACUCAAACUCAAGCGAUAAGCAAAAUUUCAGCCAAGGAACAUAGCUUCCUUCGAUUGUUUGAUGGACUUAUGUGGUUAACACCAGGCUAUGAUCAUUUAAGUUUAAAGACUCCUUCUAUGUUUGGAAUAAUUAAACUAUACUCAUAACACCAGGACAUUGGGCUGGGUGUCUUAUCAAUGCCUGUGUGACAUUUUCCUUAAAGAUAAGGAUUGGUACAGAACAGACUGUAAGUCAGAAGACUCGGGGAUAUACCAGGCCACACCUAAUGUUAGUUCUUGGCUUAAAUUCUCUCUCAUGACCUUACUAAUACUGCUAGCUAUAUUAUGUCUGUUUUGCCUGUUUUGCAAAAUUAUUUCUUGCAUUACCAAACGUGUCACUGAGCCUCUGAUAAAAUGAUGACCAGGUGACCUGAAGCAGUUAAGCCAAUGUAUAUUUGUAUGAGGUAAAUGACUGUCAUAGUGUAACUCUGGACAUGGAAAGAAGCAACAAGACGGAAUUUCUUUUUAUCUGGACCAUGACAGACCAGUGAAACAGGUGGCCCAGAAAGGUUUGGCUACUGUUAAGUAACAGCAAACUGUGUAGCCUAUCAGCGAAAUCUUGCCCUGACCUAGGAAUAAGCAUUCCUAGUACCACGGAAUGAAAUGGUCAUGAAAAUGCUUCCCCAGCCACGAUCAAAUUUAUUACCAAAGGGGUUCUACCAACUAAACACUGGCACUCACUGUCUUAACGCUUUAGAGGCAAUCACCUUGGCACUUGCCGCCUACCUGUACAAGGAUUAAAUCAUGAGCUGCUGCAGCCACUGACCUUCAUUCAACACACCUUGAAAGGAGUCCAGGAUGGAGAUCAGGAAUGAGGUCUCUCUGCUCUGAGAAAACUGGCAGAACAGGUCUUCAAACAGAUAUUUUCAGAAUUUAUGAGCCCAAAGUCUUGCGUCUCCUCAUAUCUAGAAAAGCACUACAAUCAUUAACAGUGACAUCUGCUCCUCCUGACUAGCAGCAAGCCUCUGCCUAAAUGUGUGCCUGAAUGCACGCACCUGCCUUCCACUAAAAUCAUAUAUAAUACUUAACUCCCCGCUACCCCCGGAGCAGCUCCUCAGAGCUAUCGCAAAUGCUGUCUCCCGGGCUACAGUCCUCAUUUUGUCCCAAACUGAACUAAACUCGCAACUCUCACAUCCUGUGAUUUUAUUUUAGUCAAUAUAACUUAAAAUUUUUAGACAAUAAAACUGUUUCAGAUCAGAUGUUAGCAGAAAAAAGGAGACGUGUAGUAGCCCAUAGUUCUUAUCACAUAUAUGUUGAUACCACAUCCAAAGUGAAAACCUACUAGGUAAACGUACACAACUGGCUGCCUGGCUACAAGUCUUCUGUAAAGUGCCAGGUCCAGACUGCUUUUCAGGCUUAUGCUCCUGAAUCCUCACGGAAUGAGAAAGGUCUUAUCCUACAAGACCCAGAUCUAGGACUUGGAACUUGGGAAUAUUUCCAAUUCAGUGUCCAUUCCCCAAACUGAGGUAGGACUAUGCCCUGUUUCAGUAGGAAGUAACCAGAGUGGUUGUCACCUCAUUUCCUGGGAGAUUUAGGGAAGUAUCAAACAGGAUUGGAGACUGAAACUAAAUUCUUCUGCUGAGCUCACGAUUAACCUAACUAAAACAUUGCUCCCCUUCUGUCCAACACCUGUCCUCCAGAUUGGGGAGGAGCAAAGAAAAUGGGGAGGGGGCAAGGCCUGAAACCCGACAUCAAGGACAGAAAGAAAUGAGAUAAAAAACAUUGCAUGGAGAUUAAACAACAUGCUAUUAAAAAAAAAAUCAAUGGGUCAAUGAUAAAAUCAAAGGGGAAAUUAAAAAAUACCUUAAGACAAAUGACAAUGAAAACACAGUCACAUAAAACCUAUGAAUUGCAGCAAAAGCAGUCCUAAGAAGGGAGUUCAUUGUGACACAGAGCAAAAAAGAACAAUCUCAAAAAGAAAAACCUAACCUACCACCUAAAAGAAUUAGAAAAAGAAGAACAAACAAAACCCAAAGUUAGCAGAAGGAAAGAUCAGGGAGGAAAUAAAUAAAACAGACAUCAAAAAACUAAGAGCUGUUUUUUUUUUUUUUUUUUUUUUUGAAAGAGUAAACAAAUCCAACAAACCUCUGGCUAGGCUGACCAAGAAGGAGAGAGAGAGAGGACCCAAAUAAAGAAAAAAAAAUGAAAGAGGAGAAAUUACAACAAUACCAAAGAAAUCCAAAAAGCCAUAAGAGAAUACUAUAAACAAUUAUAUGCCCAGAAGAAAUGGACAAGUUUCCAGAAACAUACUGUCUACCAAAACUGAAUCAAGAAAUAGGUAAUUUGAACAGACUGAUUACUAGAAGUGAAACAAUCAGUAAUAAAAAACUCCCUGCAGACAAAGUCCAGGACCAAUGGCUUCACUGGGGAAUUCUACAAAACCUAUCAAACAUACAAAGAACUUAUACUGAUCCUCCUCAAACUCUUCCAGAAGACUGAUGACCAAACUCAUUCUGUGAAGCCACCACUACCCUGAUUCCAAAACCAGACAAAGACACUACCAAAAAAGGAAAUUACAGGCCAAUAUCUUUGAAUAUAGAUGCAAAAAUUCUCAAUAAGAUAUUAGGAAACCAAAUCCAACAACAUAUAAAAAAGAUCAUACACUAUGAUCAAGUCAGGUUCACUUGAGGGGUCACAUGGAUGGUUCAACAUAUGCAAAUUGUUCAGUGUGAUACAACACAUUAAAAGGACAAAAAAACCACAUGAUCAUCUCAACAGAUGAAGAAAAAGCAUCUGAUAAAAUUUAACAUCCAUUCAUGAUAAAACUCUUACCAAAGUGAGUAUAGAGGGUACAUACCUCAAUAUAAUAAAAGCUAUAAAUGAGAAACCCACAGUCAACAUGAACACUCAGUGGUGAAAAGCUGAAAGCAAGCCUUCCCAGCAAAAUCUGGAACAAGACAAGGAUGCCCACUCUCACUUCUAAUCAACAUAGUAUUGGAAGACCUAGCCAUAGUAAUCAGACAAGAAAAAAGUGAUCCAAACUGGAAGGGAAGAGGUAAAAUUGUCACUAUGUGAAGAUGACAUAACACCACAUACAGAAAACUCUAAAAACUCUACAGGAAAACUACUGGAACUGAUAAAUGAAUUCAGCAAGGUAGCAGGUUACAAAAAUGCAAGAAAUUGGUUGCAUUUCUUUACACUAACAAUGAAAUAUCAGAAAAGUGAAAAGAAAAUCCCUUUUUAAAAUCCUGUUAAAAAAAUAAAUUACUUAUUUUACAGGAAUAAACCUGACCAAACAGAUGAAGACUUAUACGCUGAGAACUAUAAAACAUUGAUAAAGACUAUUAAUGACUUAAACAAAUGGAAAGAUAUCUUAUGCUCUUGCAUUGGAAGAAUUUAUAUUGUUAGAAUGGCCACACUACUCAAAACAAUUUACAGAUUUAAUGCAAUACCUAUCAAAUUACCCAGGACAUCUUUCACAGAAAUAGAACAAAUAAUAAUCCUAAAAUUUACAAGGAAUCACAAAAGACCCAGAAUUGUCAAAGCAAUAUUGAAGAAACGAAUGAAGCUGGAAACAACGCUCCCAGACUUUAGACAAUACUACAAAGCUAUAGUAAUCAAAACAGCAUGGUUUUGACACAAAAAGAGAUAUAUGGAUAAUGGAACAGAAUUGAGUGUUAUAAUACAUACCUUCAGUCAAUUAAUCUUCUACAAAGGAGGCAAGAAUAUAUAAGGAAGAAAGUGGUGUUGGGAAAGGUAGACAGCCACAUGUAAACCAAGCUCUCACAUCAUACAGAAAAAUAAACUCAAAAUGACUUAAGGACUUAUAAAUUUAAGACAGGACACAAUAAAUCUCCUAGCAGAGAAAAUAGGUCAGUCUACCAAAGCAACAAAAAUAAAAGCAACAAGAAACAAAUAGGACCUAAGUAAACUUACAAGCUUUUGCACAGCAAAGGAAGGUAUAAAAAAACUAAAAGACCAUCUACAAAAUGGGAGAAAAUACUUGCAAAUGAUGUAACUGACAAAGGCUUAAUUUCCAGAAUAUACAUACAGCUCACAUAACUGAAUAACAAAAAAGUAAACAACCCAACAACAAGUUCAUACUGUGUAGCACAGGGAACCAUAUUCAAUAUCUUGUAGUAACUUAUGGUGGAAAAGAGUAUGAAAAUGAAUAUAUGUAUGUUCCUAUAUGACCAAAAUAUUGUGCUGUACACCAGAAAUUAACACACUGUAAACUGACUAUACUUAAAUAAAAAUAUAUUUAAAAAAUAAAAUUGCAUCCCCCAAAAUAAAAUACUUAGGAAUAAAUCUGAUCAAGGAAGUGAAAGACUUAUAUGUGGACAACUACAAAACGCUGACUAAAGCAAUUAAAGAUGACUUAAAGAAAUGGAAAGAUAGCCCAUGUUCUUGGAUUAGAAGAAUUAAUAUUGUUAAAAUGGCCAUACUACCCAAAGCAAUCUACAGAUUUAAUGCAGUCCUUAUUAAAUUACCCAGAACACCUUCCACAGAAUUAGAACAAACAAUCCUAAAAUUUUAUAUGGAAUCAAAAAAGACCCAGAAUUGCCAAAGCAUUACUGAAGAAAAAGAAGGAAGCUGGAGGAAUAACCGUCCCAGACUUCAGACAAUACUACAGAGCUACAGUAAUUAAAACAGCAUGGUGUUGGUACCAAAUCAGACAUAUGGAUCAGUGGAACAGAACAGAGAGCCCAGAAAUAAACCCACAAACUUUUGGUUAGUUAUUCUUUGACAAAGGAGGCAAGAACAUACAAUGGAGUAAAGACAGUCUCUUCAGCAAAUGGUGUGGGAAAACUGGACAGCAGCAUGUAAAUCAAUGAAGUUAGAAUAUUCCCUCACACCAUACACAAAAAUAAACUCAAAAUGGCUUAAAGACUUAAACAUAAGACAAGACACUAUAAACCUCUUAGAAGAAAGUAUAGGCAAAACAUUAUCUGACAUAAAUCUCAGAAAUGUUCUCCUAGGGCAGUCUACCCAAGCAACAGAAUAAAAGCAGAAAUAAACAAAUGGGACCUAAUCAAACUUACAAGCUUUUGCACAGCAAAGGAAACCAUAAGCAAAAGAAAAAGACAACCUACAGCAUGGGAGAAAAUAUUUGUAAAAUAUGAGACUGACAAGAGCUUAAUCUCCAGAAUAUAUAAACAGCUCAUACAACUUAAUAAGAAAAAAACAAAUAAUCCAGUCCAAAAAUGGGCAGAAGGCCUAAAAAAGCAAUUCUCCAAUGAAGACAUAAUACGAAUGGCCAAUAAGCACACACAAAAAAGCUCAAUAUCGCUAAUUAUGAGAGAAAUGCAAAUCAAGACUACAAUGAGGUAUCACCACACACCAGUCAGAAUGGCCAGCAUUCAAAAGUCCACAGACAAUAAAUGCUGGAAAGGGUGUAGAGAAAAGGGAAUCCUCCUACACUGUUGGUGGGAAUAUGUUUGGUGUAGCCAUUAUGGAAAACAGUAUGGAGAUUCCUCAAAAAACUAAAAAUAAACUUACUGGUAAAUAUGAUCCAGCAAUCCACUCCUGGGCAUAUAUCCAGAGGGAACCUUAAUUCAAAAAGACACAUGCACCCCAGUGUUCAUAGCAGCACUAUUUACAAUAGCCAAGACAUGGAAACAACCUAAAUGUCCAUCGACAGAUGACUGGAUAAAGAAGUUGUGGUAUAUUUAUACAAUGGAAUACUAUUCAGCCAUAAAAAUAAUAAAACAAUGCCAUUUGCAGCAACAUGGAUGAACCUGCAGAAUGUUAUUCUAAGUGAAGUAAGCCAGAAAGAGAAAUAAAAAUACCAUAUGACAUCAGUUAUGUGAGGAAUCUUUAAAAAAAAAAAACCCAAAUGAACUUACUUACGAAACAGAAACAGACUCAGACAUAGAAAACAAACUGGUUACAGGGGAGCGGGGGAAGGGGAUGGGAAGGGAUAAAUUGGGAGUUUGAGAUUUGCAGAUACUAACUAAUAUAUAUAAAAUAGAUAAAUAACAAUUUUGUACUGUAUAGCACAGGGAACCAUAUUCAAUAUCUUAUAGUAACAUGGUAAAGAAUAUGAAAACGAAUAUAUGUAUGUUCCUAUAUGACUGAAGUAUUCUGCUGCACACCAGAAAUUGAUACAACAUUGUAAGCUAACUAUACUUCAAUAAAAAUACAUUUUAAAAAAAAUGAGCAGAAGACCUAAACAUUUUUUCAGUGAAGACAUACAGACAGUCAACAGGCACAUGAAAAAAUGCUCAAUAUUGCUAAUUAUCAGAGAAAUGCACAUGAAAACUACAAUGAGGUAUCACCUCACACCAGUCAGAAUGGCCAUCAUUCAAAAGUCCACAAACAAUAAAUGCUGGAAAAGGUGUAGAGAAAAGGGAACCGUCCUACACUGUUGGUAGGAAUGUAGUUUGGUGUAGCCGUUAUGGAAAACAGUAUGGAGAUUCCUUAAAAAAUUAAAAAUAGACUUACCAUAUGAUCCAGCAAUCACUCCUGGCCAUAUAUCCAGAGGAAACUCUUAAUUUGAAAAGACACACGCACCCCAGUGUUCAUAGCAGUACUGUUUACAAUAGCCAGGACACGGAAGCAACCUAAAUGUCCACUGACAGAUGACUGGAUAAAGAAGUUGUGGUAUAAAUAUAGUGGAAUACAACUCACCCAUAAAAAAUAAUAAAAUAAUGGCAUUUGCAGCAACAUGGAUGGACCAGGAAUAUGUCAUUCUAAGUAAGCCAGAAAGAGAAAAAAAAAAAAAAAACGGUAUGAUAUCACUUUUAUGUGGAAUCUAAAAAAAAUGGCACAAAUGAACUUAUUUGCAAAACAGACUCACAGACAUAGAAAACAAACUUAUGGUUAUUGGAGGGGGAAGCGACAAAUUAGGAUUUUGGAUUAGCUGAUAAAAACUACAACAUAUAAAAUAGGUAAACAAGUUCCUACUGUAUAGCACAGGGAACUAUAAUGUCUUGUAAUAACCUAUAAUUAAAAUGAAUAUACAUAAUACAUGUAUAACUGAAUCACUAUGCUGUACACCAGAAACUAACACAAUAUUGUAAAUCAACUAUACGGAGUCAAUUAAAAAGAAACAGGGAAGGUGGUGGAAUUGUAACUGGCAGGACCCUGUGGGGCCUUUCUGGGACAGAGCCCUCCCCCACGUCCUCUGCUGCAGCUCCUCUCUGACCUACCCAGAUGACAGUAUCUCGUGCCCAUGUCCUGAGUUUUUCAGAUGCUAAAACCACCACCAAAGGGGAGAAAUUAACUACUCGAUGAUUAUGAGCACGGAGCUCCCCCAGCUCUUCUGCCGCCCAAGGACUGACUACCAACCAAUCCGAGAACUGUGCACAGCUGAUCUCAGACCCUGGGACGCCCCAUCUCAUCUUGCUUUUGAAAAGGCUUGGCUGAAACCCUUCAGGGAGUCUGGGGUGUUGGGGGCAUGAGCCAUCCAUUUUCAAUAAACCUUUCUUUGCUCCAAA